CUUCUUUCUUAUAUUAUUUUGAAUGUAAUCCAAGAAAAUUAAUUGAAAGAUGAGAACCCUUAAAAGAUCUUCUCUAAAAAAAUUAAUUGAAAGAUCUUUUUUAAAAAAAUUAAUUGAAAGAUUUUCUUUUACCAAUGUCAUCUUGUAGAUAGCGUCCACCUUUUCCACUAAAAAACCAGAGACAAUAAGUGAAGCAGAAGUGAGCCACUUGGCAAUCUACGAUCUCGAACGUACUCUACUGAACUGACACGCUUUUCUCGCGACCUGCCGCGGCAGAGUACAAACAUGUUUUUUUUUUCAUCAUGACGGAGGGGUAUAUUCGUCCAAGCAAAACAAGAUGUAUAUCCCAUGGGCUAUUAAUGCCACAUAGUGUGUAGUUAGUUAAUUUGGGUCUCCACUAUGUAUAUUAGGCUAAAAUUCUCCUUAUAUAUCUCUAUGCAACCCAAUUAUCUAUUUCCAUAAGUCAUUUUCUGAACUCCGAAGCCAGAUUCCAAAUGUAUGUACAAAGGCAAGAAACACUAGGGAUAUGAAGUGUCUCUAUAUCUUUAUCAUAAGCUCUGUUGGUAAAUGUGUCAAAUGGUUCCUUUGUUUAUUAAAAAUUGAUAAGUCAUUCGUUAGAGCUACAUUUUAACGAGCCACAACAUUAUCGAAAAGACAGUUCUGGUGUGUGACGAAAGAGACUCCUCGACAAUCUCUAAUGAAAACUUGAUAAAUUGGUACUUAGAGAGAAACAUAAACAACAAGAAAACUCAUAUGAUUGUGAUGAGGUGGUACGAGGAACUUAAAAAGAUGGUAAGUACUUCGGAUUCAAAACCGAUUACUCAAAUAAACUGCGCACAUGUGGAACAUGGAGUAUUUUACAUGGUUUGUCUUCUGGCUUCCUGGAUUAGUAGAAUUUUCGUAUCCAAAAUACCUUGAUUUAAAAAUAAAAAUAAAAAAACUUGAAACAUGAGUUACCUCAAUCUCCUCAGACCUAAAAGGCCUUAAAUCUAAAUCUGAUUGGGCUAAUAAAAAUCUCAAGUUAGACCUGACAGUGUCGUGCGAAGGGUUUUAGGGGCCUAAAGCAAGUUUUUAAAAAAAAAUUAUAUACAAUUAUAAAAAAAACAAUUUCUAAUACAAUAUAUCACCUUCGCGAAAUACAUAAGUUUAAUACUUACAAGAAUAAGUUUAUUACGUAAAUAUGCUAUGUUAUGUCCUAUAAGAAAAAAAUAUAUGGAUUUAGAAAUUGAGUUAUUCGAUUCUCGUGGAAAGUUUCUUUUAGAAAUAAAUUUAAGCAACUAAACUAAAAAUUAUUUUAAAUUUUGGGACCCUAAAAAACAUAAUAUUAUUCGGGGACCUAAGGCGAAUGCCUUUUUCAAUACACUGUAUGCACACCUCUGAGACCUGAUAAGAAAGCUCAAAUUGUAAGGUGAUUCAAGGGGAAAUAAACAAUUAAUUCUUGAACUAUUUAAAAUCCGCAAUUUAAAUAUCGAACUAUUGCUCGCAUACUUUUAUUUCCCAACUAUUUGUUGACUCGGCAAAUUGAUACCCAAAUAAGUAGUCGUUAAGUCAAUAACGUUUGUUGUUAGUAUUUUACCAAUCUUCUUUUCCAUUAUAGCUCAGAUACUCGAAAUCCCCAAAUUAGAAUUCUUAUCUGAGAGAGAAAGCGAUUCCAGCAAGUACAGACGAGAUUUCCGGUGACGUGAUGAAGAACUUCGAGAAGAACAAAACUCUCUGUCGGUGAAAUCUUGAGCCGUUUCCCAACAACGAGUCUUGUUCUUCUCGACAGAGAGUUUUGUGAGUCUGGGAGACUCGGAAUCGAACUCAACUGCAACAGAUAAGAACCCUCCUCUUGGAGAUGUUCUUUCUCUGAUCUCGGCGGUGUUUUACGCUGUCUACAUCACUCUUAUACGCAAAAAGCUUCCUGAUGAUGAUGAUGAAAAAAGCGGCUGGUUUAGUAUGGCUCAGCUUCUUGGGUUUCUAGGUCUCUUUAACUUCUUUAUCUUCCUACCUGCUGCUGUAAUACUCUAACUUCACAAAGAGAGAGCGGUCCAAUGCACUGACCUUGAAACAGCUUGGUCUGGUGGUUGGCAAAGGUUUGUUAGAUAAUGUACUCAGUGACUACCUAUGCGCAAAGGCUGUGCUUUUGACAACGACCACAGUGGCUUCGGCGGGGCUGACCAUUCAGGUUCCAUUGGCAGCUAUUGUAGACAGCUUAUCAGGGAACAAACCAAGCUUCACAGACUUCAUUGGUGCUGCAGCCGUAAUGGUAGGCUUUGCAGGCAUCAAUAUUCCUGCAGAGAUUUUUCACAGAUCCAAAGAGACUUAGAACCAGGAACAUCGUCCAGUGAUCCUCCUCAGGUUGUGUCGGAUAGCAUAGGAGUAGAUUGUUCAGAGACCCUAGCGUCCUAACUGCCAUGAUGCUUAUAUAUUUUUGCUCUUUUAUUUUCUGAUUUUUUUUUAAAUCUGUAAAUCGUUGAAAGAUUGAUAUACGAAUAUAGUUGAAAAAAUAGUAAUAAAAAUCGUUCAAGAUUA